UUGCGGCCGCAUCACGUUGAAACCCCGGUUCCCGUACGAUCACCGAAGUUAAGAAACAUCGAGCCUAGACAGUGUCUAAAUGGGUGGCCGAUUGGGAAUACCAGGUGCUGUAAG